UACCCCGAGGAAAAGAAAUCAACCGAGAUUCCCCCAGUAGCGGCGAGCGAACGGGGAGGAGCCCAGAGCCUGAAUCAGUGUGUGUGUUAGUGGAAGCGUCUGGAAAGGCGCGCGAUACAGGGUGACAGCCCCGUACACAAAAAUGCACAUGCUGUGAGCUCGAUGAGUAGGGCGGGACACGUGGUAUCCUGUCUGAAUAUGGGGGGACCAUCCUCCAAGGCUAAAUACUCCUGACUGACCGAUAGUGAACCAGUACCGUGAGGGAAAGGCGAAAAGAACCCCGGCGAGGGGAGUGAAAAAGAACCUGAAACCGUGUACGUACAAGCAGUGGGAGCACAGAGCAAUCUGUGUGACUGCGUACCUUUUGUAUAAUGGGUCAGCGACUUAUAUUCUGUAGCAAGGUUAACCGAAUAGGGGAGCCGAAGGGAAACCGAGUCUUAACUGGGCGUUAAGUUGCAGGGUAUAGACCCGAAACCCGGUGAUCUAGCCAUGGGCAGGUUGAAGGUUGGGUAACACUAACUGGAGGACCGAACCGACUAAUGUUGAAAAAUUAGCGGAUGACUUGUGGCUGGGGGUGAAAGGCCAAUCAAACCGGGAGAUAGCUGGUUCUCCCCGAAAGCUAUUUAGGUAGCGCCUCGUGAAUUCAUCUCCGGGGGUAGAGCACUGUUUCGGCAAGGGGGUCAUCCCGACUUACCAACCCGAUGCAAACUGCGAAUACCGGAGAAUGUUAUCACGGGAGACACACGGCGGGUGCUAACGUCCGUCGUGAAGAGGGAAACAACCCAGACCGCCAGCUAAGGUCCCAAAGUCAUGGUUAAGUGGGAAACGAUGUGGGAAGGCCCAGACAGCCAGGAUGUUGGCUUAGAAGCAGCCAUCAUUUAAAGAAAGCGUAAUAGCUCACUGGUCGAGUCGGCCUGCGCGGAAGAUGUAACGGGGCUAAACCAUG
rnacentral:rRNA from 1 species